AGCUCCAAUAGCGUAUAUUAAAGUUGUUGCAGUUAAAAAGCUCGUAGUUGAAUUUCGGGAUCAAUAUUUCGGUCAUGCCGUUGGUAUGCACUGUUAUCAUUGAUUUCUCACCUUCUAAAGAACCGUAAUGCCAUUAAUUUGGUGUUACGGGGAAUUAGGACUGUUACCUUGAAAAAAUUAGAGUGUUUAAAGCAGGCUCACGCUUGAAUACAUUAGCAUGGAAUAAUGAAAUAGGACAUCCGAUUCUAUUUUGUUGGUUUCUAGGAUCGAUGUAAUGAUUAAUAGGGAUAGUUGGGGGCAUUAGUAUUCAAUUGUCAGAGGUGAAAUUCUUGGAUUUAUUGAAGACUAACUACUGCGAAAGCAUUUGCCAAGGAUGUUUUCA
rnacentral:rRNA from 1 species